GCAAAAAUGACAAGGACAUUAAACUGUAAAUGGCACAGCCACCCAAAAGAAAUGAACCAUGGUUAUCUAAAAAAUAAAGAAAAAGAAAAUGAACCAUGAAAAUAAUAUGCAUAUAAAAACAAGCCACAAAUGGCAUUAGCAUCGCAAUUUUGGGUCUGGAAACAGUCAUUCUCUCUGUGGCUCACUUUCAAAAGCAAGACAAAUUGUACAUGUCAAUGCUGGAUCAAAACAACAAAACAGAGCAAUGCUUCAUUGCUUUAAAGUCUGGCCAACAAAUAUCAAAUGCUCAAAAGUAUCCAAAUAAGGAGACAAGAGAAAACACA
rnacentral:misc_RNA from 1 species